rnacentral:lncRNA from 1 species
CGAUGGUUCUUAGCAACAGACAAACUGGCUCCCCUCUUGGAGGGAUGGAUGGUCAAAGACUUGCAUUCUGUUCCAGAAAGAGAGGGAACUCGUCCCUAGAAUGGAUUACAUCACUUCUAGUAGAGCAAAGAAGAAAGCCGUGUUUCUGUGUCACAACUCACUGACCAUUCAUUCCCUGGUUCCCAGGGUGCUGUGUGUCUUUGGCAACUGACUAAUCAGGUAGCUUUUCACCAAGCCUGGUAAUCGUGUAGUCAAAGCCUUGCUUUGUGGCACUGAAACAUCAAAUGCUUGAAGGAUAUCUAACCACAAGAUCCAGGCAUGCAGUGUCAGUCCUGGAGAGCCUGGAGAAUGAUCACUGAGCUGGGCCUGGCAGAGAGGGUCGGAAGCAGGUAGGUGGGGGAGCCAAGUGCAGACUCCGUGAAAAGGAACAACUGGGAGGCAAGGGCCGGGCGUGUGCGGGGGACACUUGUCUGCUGCGUGAUGGUGGCAUGAGGCUCUCGGCUGGUCUCUUGGCUUCUUCCCUCACCCCCUUCCAGGCCAUCUCAACCUAGCAGCCACAGCGAUCCUUUAAAAACUCCAAGUCGAUUCAUUUCCCUCCUCUGUCCACGAUUUCUCCCGCCUCAGCUGGUCCAUUCAGAAAGUCUCCGUUCAUUCGCUCAGAAACUCUCCAAACCUCAGCCAGCUGGGGUGGCGGCUCCCAGCUCCCUUUGAACUCUGCCAGAAGGGGGCCCCCUGAGUAGGUUUCUGGGAAGUCAGGUCGAGAGAGCAUGACUGUUUCUCAGUUAAACUUGGCUUCUCAGCUUCUUUCCUUCAUUUGGCCUGGAGACAGGCGUUCAGGACACGCUACCCCAAAAUAUGGCACCGUGGAAUGUUGAAUAUUUUAAGCUGAAGGAGUCUGAGAAAUGGCAGAAGCAGGAAGGACUCUCAUGUGAGAGGUACCCUCCCUAUACCUGGAGGAGAGGAGCAUCCUUUUCUCUAAGAUGCAGGGACACUGAGGGGAAUCUGAAGGAACAGGCCUUGCUGAGUGUCCCCCACUGCUGCACUUACCCCAUGCUCUUUGCUCUGUCAAAUUUCUCCACGACUGUCCACUCUUCAUCCAGCCUAGCAUAAAACACUCAGGUUUAACCAUUUCUCUGGGUCUUUAUUUCCUUGUGAAGGCUCCUGUGUCCUGUAAAAUUUAUAUUAAAUAAGUGUCAAUGCUUUUCUCCUGUUACUCUAUCUUUUUUAGUUUAAUUUGCAGAUCCAGCCUGGGACCCUAAAAGGGUCGAGGAAAAAACUCUUUUUUUCUCCCUACGCAGUUCUCUCCUGCAAGCUGAGCUUCAGCCUUUGGCUUUCAGUAGAAUCAGUCUACUGUCAUCUUUCUUCUUCUUCUUUUGCUGAGGAAGAUUCACUUUGAGCUAACAGCUGUGCCAAUCUUCCUCUAUUUUGUAUGUGGGUCGCCACCACAGCAUGACUGACGAGUGGUGUACGACCUGGGAACCAAACCUGGGCUCCCAAAUGGGAGAAUGAAUUUAACUACUAGGCCACAGGGCUGGCCCCUCUAUUGUCAUUCUUCUGGUCACCAUCUUUACUUGGGGCUCCCAGGGCUAACACAGUUAAUCUCGCCAAAGAACGGGGGCAGGGAGGAGUUGCGAGAUGUGGACUCCCACCUGUGCUCCUUGGCACCUGAGUGACCCUUGAGACCUGCUCUGGAGGGGAGGGAGGAGGCUGACCUUUCACGUAUGCGCUUGGAACUGCUUCUGGAUAAAUUCAUCCAGGGCAGGAGAGAGCUGAUGAGCCUGAGGAUGGGGGAGAGGGGAGAUCCUCGGCAGUCGUCUGGUAAGUAUGCCUUAUCCAGGCCGUUCACAAAGGUUUUACCUGGUUAUUGUGGGAAUUGGGAGAAGCCAAUGGAGCACUAAGCACUCCCAUACCCCUUGGAGCAGAAACCAAGUAUUUUCUCUCAGAAUCCUGAAACCUCACAUCUAAGUGGGAAGAGGGGCCCCAAUGUGAGGCCGGACCAGGUGUGGGAGUGGUCUGGGAGUGGCUGGCCUCUCAGAUGAUGUCCAGCCAUAGUCGUUCCCACCUUCCUCAGGCUCCCGGAAUUUGAGCCAUUCCGUCUUGCAAAGGAUUCCCAGAAUGUUGGGAGAAAACGGAACACUCACUGUUUUUUUUAGAGGGGUCCUUAAAACAAAUUAGGGUUCAAGUUGACCAAGAGAUGCUUGAUUUCAGGUUUCCCGAUGACAGGGAUCCUGGUCACAAGCUACUGAAUUGUGAGGAGACAGAGAAAAUCUCAUUUUCCUUAGCAACAGAAUUGCUGCCUCCCUUCCUCAGCUGAGAUCCACUUUUAAGAAAUACUUUGAGAGCUCAUGGGAGUGGGAAGUGAGGCCUCCAAGGGCCUGCUUGAAUGUUAACAAUAGCUGGCUGUGGCCACUUCCCCCGGGGGGGCUUGGCCGUUCACUGCAGGGCUUUUGUUUCGCGUUUGCUGAGGGCCAUCGUCUCUUUGUGUUCAACCUGUGGUGUUCCCAUGGAUUCUCCCCUUCAGGUCAAACAAGGACAGGCCAAGCGCUGCACUUGACAUUUUUGACAGGUCAAUAAAUCAUGCUUUUGUGGCUUGCAUCAGGCUUUGGGUGUUUCCUCACUGAGCAGAUUGAUAAGCAACCUGGAGAUAUUGGGUAACUUCGGAAGUGAGAAAGCCUUCUGCAGAAGACUGGGUUUCGGUCUCUCAGCCUCCCGACAGUGAAAUGGGUUCUGGGAGGCCAAGUGCUGGAGGCCACGUGGCCGGCUGGUGCCAGCAGGAGGGCUGGGCCUGGGAUCCUCCGACUCAGAGUGCAGCACUUGCUUCAAUAAUGAAAACUGGCACUCGGAGUGUGUGUCCUGUGCCAGGCCUGCCUUCGGGGAUUUGUGUCCAUUACCUCCUCCUUACAAGAGUGCGACUUGCAGAUGAGAAAACCAGGCUCCAAGGGAGGGGAUGGCCAGUCUAAGGUCCAGCAGCCACGAGUGGUGGAGCCGGAUGUCAGCCCAGGCAGGCGGGCUUGAGUCCCUGCAGUUAGCCACCACCCCAAACAGCAGACCCCAGAGGAGAGCACAUACUGCUGAACACUUGUUCCAGGCCAGGCCCUGUGCUGAGGGGUUUACGUGCCUUGCCUCAUUUCACCUUCUUGAUCCCCAGUGCGGGAGGUGCUGUCACUGUGCUGUGAGGCUCAGGAGUCCCACGACCACUCUCACUUCUGACACCAACUUCAAGGUCAGGGCUCCCCAAGGCCCCCCUUAGGUGCAAUAAUUCACCAGGAGGACUCAUAGAACCUAGAAAAGCCAUUAUACUCAUGGUUAUGGUUCAUUACAGUGAAAGGAUGUGGAUUAAGAUCAGCCAGGGGAAGAGGUGCGCAGGCAGCAUCCAGAAGAGGUCCAGGGGCAAGCUUCCGGUCGUCCUUUCCCAGCGGAGUUGUGCGGACAGUGCUGACCCCUCCCAGCAACGAUGUGUGAUGACAUACAGAGGACUGCCAACCAGGGAAGCUCACCUGAGCCUUGGCAUCCAGAUUUUUACUUGGGCUCGGUCACACAGGCAUGGCUGACCACCUGCGUGGCUAGCCUUGGUCUCCAGCCUCUCCAGAGGUUGAGCUGAUAGUGUCCAAGGCCCCCCCACCAUAAAUCACAUCCUGAGCAUAGACUGUGCUGUGUGGCUCAAGGCCCCCAGGUAGACAAAGACACUUCUCAGGCAGAACAGUCCACACACUUAGAAUUUACCUCCCAGGAGCUGGUGGCAAAGGGCCAAACCUUUCUAUGGGCACAUGUGCCCAUUUUGCAGAAGAGAAAAUGGAGUCUUGGAGAGGUUAGAUGACUUGCCCCAGGUCGCAAAUCUCCAUCUGGGAUCUGAACCCUGACCGUCCAACUCUGGGGCCCCGUGCUUCUUGUGAUCUUCCCGGCAGCUUUCGUUUCACUGUUGAAAGAGAAGUUAACCCAGGAGAUAAGAUUUUUCCAUCUUCCCAUUUCUCCAGUUGUCAGAUAAGCCAGGUCUAGAGUAUAUAUUUUUUUUUCAAUUUUUUUUAUUGAGUUAUUGAUAGGUUACAAUCUUGUGAAAUUUCAAUUGUACAUUAAUGUUUGUCAGCCAUGUUGUAGGUGCACCACUUCACCCUUUGUGCCCAGCCCCCACCCCACCUUUCCCCUGGUAUCCACUAAACUGUUCUUGGUCCAUAGUUUUAAAUUCCUCAUAUGAGUGGAGUCAUACACAGAUUAUCUUUCUCUCGCUGGCUUAUUUCACUUAACAUAAUUCUCUCA